CCUGAUAUCUUAGUGGUAAAGAAUCUGCUUGCAAUGCAGGAAAUGCGGGACACCUGGGUUUGAUCCCCAGGUCAGGA
rnacentral:tRNA from 1 species